CGGAUGUAGCCAAGUGGAUCAAGGCAGUGGAUUGUGAAUCCACCAUGCGCGA
rnacentral:tRNA from 5 species